GAUGAACGCUAGCUACAGGCUUAACACAUGCAAGUCGAGGGGCAGCAUGAAUUUACUUCGGUAAAUUUGAUGGCGACCGGCGCACGGGUGCGUAACGCGUAUCCAACCUUCCCGUUACUCUGGGAUAGCCUUCCGAAAGGGAGAUUAAUACCGGAUGGUGUUCAAUUGGUGCAUAUUAUUUGAACUAAAGAUUUAUCGGUAACGGAUGGGGAUGCGUACCAUUAGAUAGUAGGCGGGGUAACGGCCCACCUAGUCUACGAUGGUUAGGGGUUCUGAGAGGAAGGUCCCCCANACUGGAACUGAGACACGGUCCAGACUCCUACGGGAGGCAGCAGUGAGGAAUAUUGGUCAAAUGGCCGGGAGGCUGAACCAGCCAAGUUAGCGUGAAGGAUGAAGGUUCUAUGGAUUGUAAACUUCUUUUAUACGGGAAUAACACCAUCUACGUGUAGAUGUCUGCAUGUACCGUAUGAAUAAGCAUCGGCUAACUCCGUG
rnacentral:rRNA from 1 species